rnacentral:rRNA from 1 species
GGCCUAACACAUGCAAGUCGAACGGCAGCACAGAGGAGCUUGCUCCUUGGGUGGCGAGUGGCGGACGGGUGAGGAAUACACGGAAUCUACUCUGUCGUGGGGGAUAACGUAGGGAAACUUACGCUAAUACCGCAUACGACCUACGGGUGAAAGCAGGGGAUCUUCGGACCUUGCGCGAUUGAAUGAGCCGAUGUCGGAUUAGCUAGUUGGCGGGGUAAAGGCCCACCAAGGCGACGAUCCGUAGCUGGUCUGAGAGGAUGAUCAGCCACACUGGAACUGAGACACGGUCCAGACUCCUACGGGAGGCAGCAGUGGGGAAUAUUGGACAAUGGGCGCAAGCCUGAUCCAGCCAUACCGCGUGGGUGAAGAAGGCCUUCGGGUUGUAAAGCCCUUUUGUUGGGAAAGAAAUCCAGCUGGCUAAUACCCGGUUGGGAUGACGGUACCCAAAGAAUAAGCACCGGCUAACUUCGUGCCAGCAGCCGCGGUAAUACGAAGGGUGCAAGCGUUACUCGGAAUUACUGGGCGUAAAGCGUGCGUAGGUGGUCGUUUAAGUCCGUUGUGAAAGCCCUGGGCUCAACCUGGGAACUGCAGUGGAUACUGGACGACUAGAGUGUGGUAGAGGGUAGCGGAAUUCCUGGUGUAGCAGUGAAAUGCGUAGAGAUCAGGAGG